rnacentral:lncRNA from 1 species
AGACUGGAUUUUUGCCUGACUACGGUGCUCAGCCUUCUAGACAAUAGUUAUGCUAAGGGAUUAUCUUUUAACAUUGUGCAGUUAUCUCCUUUGUUUGUUUUCUUUUUUCAUUAUUCACAUAAGCCAAGGGAAAUGAAAAGCAUCUUAUUUCAGGCAAAAAGGCCUGUGAAUGAUUAACUCUGGUUCCAUGCGUUGGGACUUUGCAUAGCAACCCCGUGGCUUGCAACGACAAAAAAGCUCAAGGCAGGAACAGCAGCCCAGGGACCUGAGACCAGCGUUCUCAAAUGAAGGUGCCAGAUCUGCUGUUAGAGGAGAAUUCUUCUGUCCUAGCUGUGUCUCUGUGAUCUGUGGAUGAGGGUGGGAAAGCACCACUCAGUCAAUUGGGGUGUACAAAAUGGAGUUUGAGAAGGUCUCACAUCCAGGUUGUUUUGAAGCAAAGUCCAAGCAUUGUAUCACUUCAUCUGCAAAUAUUUCAAUAAGUACCCAAAAGUGGUUGGACUGAGUCCCAUGAAGCCAGAUCACUUCUGACUGCAAGGAGCUUGGAAAAGCAAGUAUCUGGAUCUUUUACCAGCUAAAUUUGGAGAAUUAUUGAUCAAAUUUGGAUCUCUGUGUGCUGUCCUCCAAUUUAAUACUUUCUGUGUUGCUGUUUUAUUUUCUUUCUUCUGGAACCUGGCAAAGUGCGUCAAGCGAUGAGGCUUCCUCUUUGAAGAUCACAGGUGAGAAGAUUAGGUGCUUUCUCAGAAGCCCAGCAACCUGAUGGGAGUGUGGAGUGAGCAAGACCCAAAUCGGAGCUUCAUCCCUGCAUGGUUCAUUUUGCUUAUUUGGCAAACUUGCCCUGCAGAAUCUACUCAAGCUUCCUCAGUUUCUCAAAUCAUUCUUGGGCAACAAAUGAACAAGAAAGAGGACGUCUUAUUAUCUGGUGUCUGGCUUGCUGAUUUAAUAACCUAGGAGACAGUGUUUGAAGAACACAAACUCUAAAGUCCUUCACUUAAAAAAAAAAAAAAACUUUCCCAAAUUGCUUACCAUUUGGAAAAAUUGCCUUACCUUCUUCAGUCAUCUCUGAUGUUGUCAUCCUCAGAGUAAGAAGUACGCAUUCAUAAGGAACCAUAACGUCCUUCAGGAAAUCCAGUACACCCUACAAUUUUACCUAAAACUUUGAUGUUGUUUUUUCUGAGCAUUUUACCUUCUAGGGAAAUGGAUCUCAUGCUGUUUAUCAGUUUCUGAAAGUUGUUAUUAAUCUCCCCUCAUCCCAAAAUUGAAGAACUUUGCUUAAAUCUUAGAAUCAGAACUUUGGCUCCAGUAAUAAAGACUUUUCAAUAUCUUUAUCUGCCAUUGAGUCUUACCUAACGAAAUAAAGCCUCCAAAGUGGGAA